rnacentral:misc_RNA from 1 species
GUUCGAUCUCUCGUGCGCGGAAUGCCCAUCGGCGCGGUGGUUCACCGAACCCCGCUAUUUAGACCCUCUAUGAAAAGUCCUCCUAUGCAAUCUUGAUCGACCAUCUUGCCUGCAAAUGUGUUUGCCCGCCAAUAAGCGCAGCGCAUGCAGUGCCGAUGUCGUACGGGAACGCUACCUGGUUGAUCCUGCCAGUAGUCAUAUGCUUGUCUCAAAGAUUAAGCC